GAGUUUGAUCCUGGCUCAGAUUGAACGCUGGCGGCAGGCCUAACACAUGCAAGUCGAGCGGAUGAAGGGAGCUUGCUCCCUGAUUCAGCGGCGGACGGGUGAGUAAUGCCUAGGAAUCUGCCUGGUAGUGGGGGACAACGUCUCGAAAGGGACGCUAAUACCGCAUACGUCCUACGGGAGAAAGCAGGGGACCUUCGGGCCUUGCGCUAUCAGAUGAGCCUAGGUCGGAUUAGCUAGUUGGUGAGGUAAUGGCUCACCAAGGCGACGAUCCGUAACUGGUCUGAGAGGAUGAUCAGUCACACUGGAACUGAGACACGGUCCAGACUCCUACGGGAGGCAGCAGA
rnacentral:rRNA from 1 species